CAAAUACUCCCUCCGUCCAGAAAUACUUGUCAUCAAAAUGGAUAAAAGUAAAUGUAUCUAGACGUAUUUUAGUUUUAGAUACAUAUCUUUUUAACCAUUUUGAAGUAUUUUCAAACGGAUGGAGUAGAAA
rfam:Triticum aestivum genome assembly, contig: Triticum_aestivum_CS42_TGACv1_scaffold_031345_1BL